CUUCGGAUCUAGUGGCGGACGGGUUAGUAACGCGUGGGAACGUACCCUUUUCUACGGAAUAGCCUCGGGAAACUGAGAGUAAUACCGUAUACGCCCUUCGGGGGAAAGAUUUAUCGGAGAAGGAUCGGCCCGCGUAAGAUUAGAUAGUUGGUGGGGUAAUGGCCUACCAAGUCUACGAUCUUUAGCUGGUUUGAGAGGAUGAUCAGCAACACUGGGACUGAGACACGGCCCAGACUCCUACGGGAGGCAGCAGUGGGGAAUCUUAGACAAUGGGGGAAACCCUGAUCUAGCCAUGCCGCGUGAGUGACGAAGGCCUUAGGGUCGUAAAGCUCUUUCGCUGGGGAAGAUAAUGACUGUACCCAGUAAAGAAACCCCGGCUAACUCCGUGCCAGCAGCCGCGGUAAU
rnacentral:rRNA from 1 species